GUCUCACGAGUAAGAGUGCAGUUGACCGCCGACUGAAAUCGACUAAACUUGGCUUCAUUGUGUGUCCUCCAACGAAACUAAAAUCGACUAAAACAGUUGAAGUGGAAUUUGCAUAUCUGUGAAAAUUUUGUUCACCAAUCACCAUGUGUAUUUUGCCCUGUUUAACUGUGCUUCUCUUUUUGCAAUUAAAUGUCGUCCUCGGUGAAAUGUUCACUGCCUUGGCAGACUUGGAAGGACUCGUCGUAACAGAGUUGGAGCUUGUAAAGCAACUUGAUACUUACAUCCAGGAAGAAGAGAACAAACUGAAACUUUUGAGAGGACACAUGGAAGAAUUCGAAAACAUGUAUCAGGAAGCCAGUGCAGAUGUUUCAAAAUACUUGGCCAACCCAGUCAAUGCUUAUUUACUUGUCAAAAGCCUGACGUCAGAUUGGAAGAAGAUUGAAGGGGUCAUGUCCCAAAAUUUUGGCUCUGCCUUUCUCAAAAACAUUACUCAACACCGUAGCGAUUUGCGUUUCCCAUCGGAUGAGGAUUUGAAUGGAGCAGCAGUUGCCCUUAUGAGACUCCAAGAUACUUAUAAACUAGACACUCACGCUCUGGCCAAAGGGGAGCUGUUGGGGAAAAAAUAUUCUCGUCAGCUUACCGCUGGAGAUUGCUGGGAACUUGGUCGGCAAUCGUACAACAACGGCGAUCACUAUCACACGGUUCUGUGGAUGGCAGAAGCUUUAAACAAGUGGGACGACGAAUCAAAUAAAACUGUCGCUCGAGAAGAUAUUCUCGAUUACUUGUCGUUUUCCACAUUUAAACAAGGUAAUGUCAAGGAAGCCUUACAGUUGACUAAUGAACUGCUUCAGAUUGUUCCGUACCAUCAACGCGCCAUUGGAAAUAAAAAACAUUACGAAGACGUCCUUCGUAAAGAGGGAAUCUUGUUACCGAUUGGUCCACCUAAUGGAGAAGGUGAAAGGGCGGAAGAGAUGAUCCUGACUAAACCAUUUAAUACUGCCAAUCUAAAGUUAAAGAAACCUAUCGAUAAUUUAGAGGAAAGAGAUAAAUACGAAAAGCUCUGCAGAGGAGAAAAGUUGAUGGAUCCUAAAAUCGAAGGCCGUCUCCGAUGUCGCUACGUCACCAAUAACAUGCCAUUCUUUUUCAUUCAACCCAUCAAGAUGGAGGAGGCAUUACUGAAACCGAGGAUAGUCGUCUAUCACGAUGUUAUGUCCGAUGACGAAAUUGAAACUGUCAAGAAAAUGGCCAAGCCCAGGUUUAAACGCGCCACUAUUCGGAAUAGCAAAACCGGAGAGCUCGAACCGGCGAAUUAUCGGAUCUCAAAAUCUGCCUGGUUGAAAAGUGAAGAACACGAUUACAUAUUUAAGGUGACUCGCCGUGUUGGCGAUAUCACCGGACUUGACAUGUCAACAGCUGAAGACCUCCAAGUUGUCAAUUACGGCAUUGGCGGGCAUUAUGAACCUCAUUUUGAUUACGCCAGAUCAUCGGAAAACAUGUCAAUCCAAUGACUCGGUUACUGGCAAUCGUAUCUCGACACACAUGAUAGCUGUUGCUUGAACUACAGAGACAGCCGAAGCCUUUAAAGAACUCGGAUGGGGUAAUCGUAUCGCUACUUGGCUAUUCUACAUGAGCGACGUUGAGG
rnacentral:misc_RNA from 1 species